rnacentral:lncRNA from 1 species
CUUCAGGCUACUUGAAGAGUUUUACCCAAACAUGGGUAUCAGACAAAAUCACACGAUUUAUAUCAACAACAUGAAUGACAAAAUUAAACAAGAAGAAUUGAAGAGAUCUCUGUAUGCCCUGUUUUCUCAGUUUGGACAUGUGGUCGAUGUUGUGGCUUUAAAGAAGGCAAGGGGACAGGCUUGUGUUAUAUUUAAGGAACUGGGCUCAUCCACAAAUGCUUUGAGGCAAUUAUUAGGACUUCCAUUUUCUGGUAAACCAAUGAGAAUUCAGUAUGCAAAAACAGAUUCCAAUAUAAUAUCUAAAAUGUGUGGCACUUUCGCUGACAAGGAAAAGAAGGAAGC